rnacentral:rRNA from 1 species
GAUGAACGCUAGCGGCAGGCCUAAUACAUGCAAGUCGAACGGGUUGGUUCAGCAAUGGACCAAUCAGUGGCGCACGGGUGCGUAACGCGUAUGCAACCUACCUUAAACUGGGGGAUAGCCUUCCGAAAGGGAGAUUAAUACCGCAUAAGACUAUUUGAUGGCAUCUGAAGAUAGUUAAAGAUUUAUUGGUUUAAGAUGGGCAUGCGUGCCAUUAGCUAGUUGGUAGGUAACGGACUACCAAGGCGACGAUGGCUAGGGGUUCUGAGAGGAUGAUCCCCACACUGGUACUGAGAUACGGACCAGACUCCUACGGGAGCAGCAGUAGGGAAUAUGGGCAAUGGACGGAGUCUGACCCAGCCAUGCCGCGUGCAA